rnacentral:rRNA from 1 species
AACGAACGCUGGCGGCAUGCCUAACACAUGCAAGUCGAACGAGAGCUUCGGGUCUGGUGGCGCACGGGGUCGUAGAGCGUGGGAACCUGCCCUUAGGUUCCGAAUUACUCCCCUAAGGGGGUGCUAAUGCCGGGUAAUGUCCUCGAACAAAAGAUUUAUCGCCUUUGGAUGUGCCGGCGUUGGUUUAGCUAGUUGGGAGGGUAAAAGCCUACCAAGGCGUCGAUCCAUAGCUGGGCUGAGAGGAUGAGCAGCCACACUGGGACUGAGACACGGGCCAGACUACUACGGGAGGCAGCAGAGGGUAAUAUAGGACAACCGGGGGAAGCCUGAUCCCGCACUGCCGCGUGAGUGAUGAUGGCCGUAGAGUUGUAAAGCUCUUUUAUCCGGGAUGAUAAUGACAGUACCGGAAGAAUAAGCACCGGCUAACUCCGUG